rnacentral:rRNA from 1 species
UCGAGCGGAAACGAGUUAACUGAACCUUCGGGGGACGUUAACGGCGUCGAGCGGCGGACGGGUGAGUAAUGCCUGGGAAAUUGCCCUGAUGUGGGGGAUAACCAUUGGAAACGAUGGCUAAUACCGCAUAAUAGCCCGGUUCUUCGGAAUUGGACUCAAAGAGGGGGACCUUUUAGGCCUCUCGCGUCAGGAUAUGCCCAGGUGGGAUUAGCUAGUUGGUGAGGUAAUGGCUCACCAAGGCGACGAUCCCUAGCUGGUCUGAGAGGAUGAUCAGCCACACUGGAACUGAGACACGGUCCAGACUCCUACGGGAGGCAGCAGUGGGGAAUAUUGCACAAUGGGCGCAAGCCUGAUGCAGCCAUGCCGCGUGUGUGAAGAAGGCCUUCGGGUUGUAAAGCACUUUCAGCAGUGAGGAAGGUGGUGUCGUUAAUAGCGGCAUCAUUUGACGUUAGCUGCAGAAGAAGCACCGGCUAACUCCGUGCCAGCAGCCGCGGUAAUACGGAGGGUGCGAGCGUUAAUCGGAAUUACUGGGCGUAAAGCGCAUGCAGGUGGUUAGUUAAGUCAGAUGUGAAAGCCCGGGGCUCAACCUCGGAACUGCAUUUGAAACUGGCUGACUAGAGUACUGUAGAGGGGGGUAGAAUUUCAGGUGUAGCGGUGAAAUGCGUAGAGAU